GGGUCGGGUUCGGGUCAGGAAAACUGACCCGUUUUUAAAAACGGGUCGGGUUGACCCGAAUAGUGCCGGGUCAGUUUCGGGUUCGACCCGAACCUGACCCGUGACCCGAAAUUGACACCCAUAACUAUGUUGGCCGAGGAAAGCCCCCAAUCCCCACCUUCGAAGCAUCACAAUGCAGUUCAAAGGGUCAGUUGAAUAAGAGCUAUUUUUGGGCUCAAAAAAUUUGAGCUUUUUGGCCCUGACCUCUUUGCGUUAUAUUUAGGGAGAGUUUUAAUAGACUAAGUUCCGAGAGAAAUAUUCAGAAGGCAGAUUAGAUGGAGAUAAUACAUUGCCGAGAAAUUUCACUAUCUUAGCGAAGACUUUGAGAUCUGAGUUUUGGUUUCCUAUAAGCGCAAGCCCAUAUACUUAAUUACCUCGCUCGAUAACGAGAGAGAUCUUUCGAUUAAGCCUAGUUGUUGACCGAUAUUUAAAAUUAAAAUUUUAUCACAUAUCACUAAAAGUGGAUGGUGGGGAGAUGAUGAUGAACUCGAUCAAGAUCCCAUAGUUCUGUCAUCCCGAGUCAUCAUGAUCCCUAGUCUACUUAGUCAAAAGUGGUAGUCGAUCUAACCUGAUCAAAGGAUCCUUGUCGACAACCAUGGGUUACUUCGUAUAAGGGGGCCUUAUAGACUUAGGGUGAAUGUUUGCCUAAGGGAUGAAUUCAAGAUAACCUUAGCUAACAAAGGACUUUUUGCUCCAUCGAUUAUACCCUAUAAUUCAUUUCUCAAUGGUAAAUAGUCAUUGGGGAACAUACGAGAUUUUAGCCAUGGCCAUAAUACGAUGGAGUUGUUUGAUCAUGCUAGUAGGUCAAAGGAUCGCAGUCAUAAUCAUUUGCCACGUGAAGCCGUCCUGACCAAGCAACGAAUUCUUUGUGGAGCCAUCUGGUCAAACUAUUGAUUAAAGGACCAGUUAUAACCAUUUACCGUGUAGAGACGACUGGCCAAAUUACGAGUUUUGUUGAGCUAUUUGGCCAAGCCACUAGUUAGAGAACAAAUGACAUGUCCUUACUUUCAUAAUAUUAUUUGAGAAUGAAUCUGAGUGAUAUUCUUGACUAACCAUAUGCUCUUUGUGAGCUAGAGUUAUUCUUGAGUUCAUCGCUCUUGUCAAACGAUUGCGGAGAGUGCAUGAGUUUUGUUUUAAGUUGUAGGUAAUUAAUUUUAAUUUUAAAUAUGAAAAUUUAGAUAUAUAUAUUAAAAUUCAUAGUUUUGAUGGAAUUUGAAAAUUAACCCAUCUGGUUGAAAUUUAUAUUCAAUGCGGCCAGCAUCGGGGUAAUGUUGUAGUCAUUUGAAAAAUAUUUAUAUUUAUAGAAAUUGGAGGCAUUUAAAAGGGUAGAGCCCUCUUUGGUUGAGAUUAACUUUCAAUACGACCAUCAUCGGGUAGACAUUAAAUAAUUAAUUAUUUGAACCUUGUCAACUCUGCUCGACCGCUAAUAGAGGAUCGAGUUCAACAAGCGAUGAUUAUGCGAAUGCUAAAACCAAGAGAGCUUGUAUUUUAUGAUGCAUUUUAUCUAAAGAACCUUAGUUUGCCUAAUGUGAACUUUAGAUUUAAGCACAUGCGGGGAAUUUGAAAGAAAUUUAAUUAACAUGCAUGCUUUUCAAUAAGUCACGUUUAAGUUUAGGGAAUUAUAUUUUAAUGCAUAGAGUAUUUAAAAUAUUUAAAUAUAUCUUUUGCAUAUAUGAUUUUCAUUUAAAAGUGUGCAAAAUUUCGUUUGAAAUUCAACAAAUGUCUUUUGUUACGCUUGUACGAGUGUUGCAGAUUCGGUGGUUUAAAUUAAAGGCGAGUUUGGUUUCAAUUAUAGUAAUAUAUGAGAGAUAUUGUUUAGUUCAUUUUAUUUUCUUCAAAUAAUCAUUUAGCACAGUUCGUAGAGGGUGUUUGUUCAAUCAACACUUGGAAAAUCUUGUUCGUAGGAGAAUUAUUCUGCUCGCUACAAGUUCCCCUAUUCUUCCUCAUAGGUGAGCGGAUUUGUUCGAUACGAGCUCCUUGUCCUCACUUAUAGGCGAGUUAUAUUUUUUACAACUUCCCUAUAUGCGUCAAUAAGCAAACUAUUACAUUCAUUACACAUUCACUGUUAUCACAUGUAGGAGAAUUGUUGUUAACUGCAAGCUCCUUGCCCACGCCCGUAGGUGGGCUGAUUUGAACAUUACAAGAAUUCUAUUGUUAUCACCUGUAGGCAGAUUGCUGUUAACUGCAAGCUCCUCGCCCACGCCCGUAAGUGGGCUAAUCUGAACAUUACAAGUCUUCUAUUGUUAACCAUUGGCAAGCAAUUGUAUGCACUACAUGCUCUCUGAUCCUGCUCACAAGUGAACUGUAGUGUUCAUUACUACUCUGUUGUUGCCCGUUGAUGGGCUAUAGUGCGCUUUACACAUCUCCCGUCUACGCCUAUAGUCAAGUUAUCACAUUCAUCAUUAGUUCCUUGUCCUCGCUCAUAGGAGAAUGGUUAUCCUCUUUGAGUUACCUUUUUCUACCAGUAGAGGAUGUCUCACAUUCAUUAUAAGUUUCCCGCUUUUGCCCGUAGGCAAGCUACUAUAUUCAUUCUGGGUUUAUUGCACUUUGCAUGCAGGAAAUUAAGUAUUGUUCAUUAUAAGUCAAAUAUCCUCGACCAUAGGCAAGCUAUGAAAUCGUACGACAAACCCCUUGUUCCUCCCCACAAGCAAGGUGUUACAUAUCCCCUAAUAUUGUUCAUAAACAAACUACCAAUUUCAUGAAACGCUUGUAGUUGUGUUUAUAACAAAUAACUUGCUUGUGCCCAUAGGUGGGCUAUAAUGUUCGUUACAGGUUCCCGCUUUAGCUCUAAGAUAAGCUAUCAUGUUACAUGGUUCCCUGCCAUCUCUUGAUUUUUGAAGUUUUAUUUAGUUAUGAUUUUAUUUUAAAUUUUCAUUUAGGUUUGGUUCCUAUUAGUUUCAGUCAAGUCCUCUAUUCAGUCUCCCAACAUCUCCUACUCGCAGGGGGAAUUUUAGAGAGCUAGGCUUUCCCACCACACUACGAAAAGCGUGUAUGGGUCUUUGAGGUACCUGCAUGAAAGCUCGCAAAUUUUCCAACAGACAUAGAAACACGUACACGAGUAUUUAGGAGUGUUCUCACCAUGCUACCAAAAGCGCGUACAAGGCCUACCCGCGUCGCUACUAACGUCGCCUUCAAACAUCCUCCUUUUGUACUUUGAAAAGCACAUGUAGGGGAUUGAUCGUUACGCCGUAAUGUUAACAACAGGAUUUAAGAAAUUUUUUAAAGUUUAACGAGCUUUAUACCUUUAAAAGCGAGAGGCGGCAACAAUGACGAUGUAGAGGGCACGAGAGGCUAAACACAACCAUCUCCCCUCUCUCUCUCUCUCUCUCUCUCUCUCUCUCUCUUCUCUUCUCUUUUUUCUUUUCUUUUCACUUUUUUAACUAAUAGCAACAAUAAUAAUAACAUAAGGAAAAAUAGUGCUGAUUUGGGCUUUGAAUAGUUAGAGAAGUGAAAGGAGUUGCUGGAAUGAUUUCAGUUGAGUGUAGGAGGAGAGGGGUGCUGCUGGUUUCACGGUAAGUGCUGGACAGCAUGGAGAUCGGUCCAAUACAGUGGCUGUAAAGGAAAUUGUGUGGCUUUUUUUUGCUGGAGGUGUUGACAGGUAGGUAGUGGUUCACGUGAAGAGGAGUGUAGAGAGGGAGCUUGUGGCUGAUAUGAGCUGCUUGUGAGGCGGAGAUUGGGCAAGGGAGAGGGGAGCUGGGAGUUCAGGACUGCAGCUGAGAUCUUGAAUGGCUGUUGGCGAAUGUUGGAGGGCUGGGCUGCAGUGGUUUAAGGUGAUAUGAAGGUGGAGCGGGUAGGUGCUUUGAACCAGUAGGUUGGGAUAUCGGGUAGGAGGGCUGGUGGGUAGGAUCUUGAAGGAAGCUGGGGUGAGGGAGAUGAGGAGGAAUCGAACAGAGAGGGAGUGGAAGGAAGGAGCUCUUGUGAGUGAGUCAAUGGAGUGGGAAUGAGUGGGUUGUGGAGUAGGAGAAAUUAUUAGGUGCGGACAUCGGACGAAGAGAACCGUCUGGAUUUCUCUAUCUACAGUAAAAACGCAGUCAAAUCGCAGCGGUUACAGUAACUACACUUUGACUGCAUUUUAACUGUAGACAGAGAGAAAUCCGGAUGAUCCUCUCCGUUCGAUAUCUGCACCUAAUAAUUUGCCAUGGAGUAGAGGGAAUAUGAAAAAAAAAGUUUCAAUUUUUUUUAUUCCACGUGAACGACAAGAUGAGGCAGCGGGCUGGCUACACCAGGAUUAGGCGGCUUGUGCAGAGUUAAUAUUUAGAUAAUAUGAUUUAGGCAACUAAGAUUAGAUGUAGGAUAAUAUAUAAAUAUAUAUAUUUUUAUACAAAUUCAAUUAAAGUAAGAUUAAAAAAAUAGCAUAAGUGUGAAUUAAUUUCUUUGUGUAAUUCUUCAUUAUUUGUGCAUCUCGAUUUGCAUGCUAUAAUCACCUCGAUGCUCGUGUCGAUUUUGAGUUUUUGCUCGUGCAAGGACCCAUACAAUAUUUCAUCUAUUUCUAUGUAUCAUCGAUGUUCCGGACGUAACGACGAAGUUCUUUUUGCAAACGGUCGACGUUAGGGUAACGUCGCGCAACAUUACAUCUGUAGAUCGUCGAUUUCGAUUGCCUUCACUCAAUUCAUCUGCGAGGGUCCCCGCUAGGUAAAUUCAAUGUUUUGAUCGCAUCGGCACAGUCCAUUUGAUGAUCAGAGAUCAUUUGGGUAGUUUUGUGCUGCGUUUUGCUCCCCAAUAGUUGUGAUUGGCGUCAUUUUUUGAUCGAGUUACAAGUGACUCUUCUUUGCUAAAUUCGACAUCCCAUGCGUAUCGGUGCAAUCCAUUUUAUAAUCAGAUGAUGUUUGAGUAGCUUUGAUAGCGAUCGAGGUGUCUCGAUGCUCGUUACUAGUGACAUGUCCACUAGUUGCCUCCCAUGGUGCGCUCGAUUGGAUUUGACACGUAUAUUGAGGUCAACAAAUGUGGUAUGCGUCUAGAUCAAACUAUGCUUGUUGUAAACUAGGUAAUCCUGCAAUUCUCUAAAUAUAUGUUCUUUUGAGUAUGACUUGCGUUUCAAUCUAACGAAUUCUUUUCAUGACAUCCUUAAAUUUUAGUGCAUAAUUAGAAUUAAGUUGCAUGCAGGUCGUAAGCUUUCUUUAUGCAUUUCAUUUUAAUAUCUUUCUUCUAACGCAUAAUUCUCCACAUUAUCUUAUUCUUUGACAACACGAUGUUCACCUAACGAAGGCCAUAAGGCAUAUCAUGCAAUUAGGACUGCAAACGAACCAAACGUUUGACUAGCUGCUCGUGUCUCGGCUCGAUAAGGGCUCGUUCAUGUUCGUUUGAUAAGGUAAACAAACAAGUUUGAACACACUUGAUAAGUACUUGAUAGCUAAAUGAACGAGCUUGAACAUCACGUUGUUCGGUUCAUUUAUGUUCACGAACAGUCUCGCUUAGAAGCUCGUGAACAAGCUCGCUUAGAAGUUCGAUUACAGCUCGACUAAGAAGCUCGAUUAGAGCUCAAUUAGAGUUUUAAAAAUAAAUACUAUUUAGUCUACUAAUUUAACAUUUUUAAAUCUUUCCUCUCCAUUAAUUGUUUUAUUUUAUUAAAUUUUUUAUUGUCCCGCCUCUGGCCUACUCUCUCUCUUUCUCUCUCUCUCUCCUCCGUGGCGUCACCAAAGUUAAAAAAAAAUUUGUAGGCACUUUAGUACCACAUCGCCUGGAGAAGGAUGAUUAUGCUCUAUAAAAAUAAAUUUAUCUAGUGCCCUGUUGAAAAGCGAGCAGCCGGUUGGAUGCUGGGUGUGUUAACUCGGCAUGAGACUCUAUGGAGCUGCUUUGUUUGCCUAACGACCCGCUGGACAAACGGGCUCGAUUUCAAACACGAGCCAAGUUUAAAUACUUUUUUGUUUAAUGUGUUGUAGCUCGAACAAGUGUCUGAGAAGCUCGACGAGCUUCUAGCCGAGUUUGAACUCGAUUCUGAUAAGCAAGCCCAAACUCGAACAGGUUAAAGCUCGGCUCGGCUCUAUUCGUUUGCAGCCCUACAUGCAAUGAGCCCAUUGAAGAGGCAAUUUGGGCCAUGAUAGAUAGUUGCGACCCUCACGAAGCUGUUGACAUGGAUGACAGGCUUGAGCAACAUGAAGAAAUGUUGAGUGGUUGCAGUACUUGCGGUGAUUUCUAUAUGCGAUCAUUCACUGCUUAUCCCAAAGUCGCAGCACUUAGGGAAUAAUAGUGUAUUUUGGGAUCUCUUCAAAACACUGCUUCUCCCAAAAUUGUCGGCAUGGAACCCUUUUUAGUUCAACAACCUACGUUAGAUCCAGUGCUAU